rnacentral:rRNA from 1 species
AUUGAACGCUGGCGGCAUGCUUUACACAUGCAAGUCGAACGGCAGCGGGGGCUUCGGCCUGCCGGCGAGUGGCGAACGGGUGAGUAAUGCAUCGGAACGUGCCCAUGUCGUGGGGGAUAACGUAUCGAAAGGUACGCUAAUACCGCAUACGUCCUGAGGGAGAAAGCGGGGGACCGUAAGGCCUCGCGCGAUUGGAGCGGCCGAUGUCGGAUUAGCUAGUUGGUGAGGUAAAGGCCCACCAAGGCGACGAUCCGUAGCGGGUCUGAGAGGAUGAUCCGCCACACUGGGACUGAGACACGGCCCAGACUCCUACGGGAGGCAGCAGUGGGGAAUUUUGGACAAUGGGCGCAAGCCUGAUCCAGCCAUGCCGCGUGAGUGAAGAAGGCC